rnacentral:ribozyme from 16 species
AAUCAAUAUUGUUAGUUUUAUGUGUCGUUUUUUCUUUUCUAUUUUUUUUUUCUUUUGGAAGUAUGCUUAACAUUC